GAUACCCUGGUAGUCCACGCCUAAACGAUGUCAACUAGUUGUCGGAUCUAAUUAAGGAUUUGGUAACGUAGCUAACGCGUGAAGUUGACCGCCUGGGGAGUACGGUCGCAAGAUUAAAAACUCAAAGGAAUUGACGGGGACCCGCACAAGCGGUGGAUUAUGUGGAUUAAUUCGAUGCAACGCGAAAAACCUUACCUACCCUUGACAUGCUUGGAAUCUAAUGGAGACAUAAGAGUGCCCGAAAGGGAGCUAAGACACAGGUGCUGCAUGGCUGUCGUCAGCUCGUGUCGUGAGAUGUUGGGUUAAGUCCCGCAACGAGCGCAACCCUUGUCACUAAUUGCUAUCAUUUUUAAUGAGCACUUUAGUGAGACUGCCGGUGACAAACCGGAGGAAGGUGGGGAUGACGUCAAGUCCUCAUGGCCCUUAUGGGUAGGGCUUCACACGUAAUACAAUGGCGUGUACAGAGGGUUGCCAACCCGCGAGGGGGAGCCAAUCUCAGAAAGCACGUCGUAGUCCGGAUCGGAGUCUGC
rnacentral:rRNA from 1 species